AGCAGCUUCCAACCAUCAAAACCUAAACAAGAAAAACUAGCAUGUCCCUUGUGAAUCUUAAGGAAAAAAUAACCAAGGUUCUAAAGAUGUAUCUCUCUUCCAAAAAUUCUCCUGUAGAUGUACAAAUAAAAGACAUCCAAGGAAGGAAACGUAGCAGCAUUAGCUCUCAAGCCCGGCGAAGGC